AAUGAACGCUGGCGGCAUGCCUAACACAUGCAAGUCGAACGAGACCACCGGGUCUAGUGGCGCAUGCGUGCGUAACGCGUGGGAACCUGCCGUUAGGCUCGGAAUUACUCUUCGACAGGGGUGCUAACAUCGGAUAAUGUCUUCGGAUCAAAGAUUUAUCGUCUUUGGAUGGGCGCGCGUUGCAUUAGCCAGUCGGUAGGGUAAAAGCCUAUCAAGGGAUCGCUACAUAGCUGGUAUGAGAGGCUGAGCAGCCACACUGGGGCUAGGACGCGGCCGAGACUCCUACAGAAGGGAGCAAUGGGUGAUACUGGACAAUCGGGUGGGUGCUGAACCAGCAAUGCCGCGAGAGUGAUGAAGGCGGGAGAGUAGUAAAGCUCUUUAACCCGGGAUGAUAAUGACGGUACCGAAAGAAUAAGCUCCGGCUAACUCCGUG
rnacentral:rRNA from 1 species